rnacentral:rRNA from 1 species
CCUACGGGUGGCAGCAGUGAGGAAUAUUGGUCAAUGGACGCAAGUCUGAACCAGCCAAGUAGCGUGCAGGAUGACGGCCCUCCGGGUUGUAAACUGCUUUUAGAUGGGAAUAAAAGGGGGCUCGUGAGCCCCGUAUUGUAUGUACCAUCAAAAAAAGUACCGGCUAAUGCCGUGCCAGCAGACGCGGUAAUACGGAAGGUCAGGGCGUUAUCCGGUUUUUGUGGGUUUAAAGGGAGCGUAGGGCGGCUUUUAAGUCAGCUGUGAAAGUCCGCGGCUCAACCGUGGAAUUGCAGUUGAAACUGGCAGCCUUGAGUGCACACAGGGAUGCCGGAAUUCAUGGUGUAGCGGUGAAAUGCUUAGAUAUCAUGAAGAACUCCGAUCGCGAAGGCAGGUGUCCGGGGUGCAACUGACGCUGAGGCUCGAAAGUGCGGGUAUCAAACAGGAUUAGAUACCCGGGUAGUC